rnacentral:rRNA from 1 species
CCUACGGGUGGCAGCAGUGAGGAAUAUUGGUCAAUGGACGAGAGUCUGAACCAGCCAAGUAGCGUGAAGGAUGACUGCCCUAUGGGUUGUAAACUUCUUUUAUAUGGGAAUAAAACGUUCCACGUGUGGGAUUUUGUAUGUACCAUAUGAAUAAGGAUCGGCUAACUCCGUGCCAGCAGCCGCGGUAAUACGGAGGAUCCGAGCGUUAUCCGGAUUUAUUGGGUUUAAAGGGUGCGUAGGUGGAUUGUUAAGUCAGUUGUGAAAGUUUGCGGCUCAACCGUAAAAUUGCAGUUGAAACUGGCAGUCUUGAGUACAGUAGAGGUGGGCGGAAUUCGUGGUGUAGCGGUGAAAUGCUUAGAUAACACGAAGAACUCCGAUUGCGAAGGCAGUUCACUGGACUGCAACUGACACUGAGGCUCGAAAGUGUUGGUAUCAAACAGGAUUAGAUACCCUAGUAGUC